CUGCCGCCGGCGACCGGCGCACGGGUGAGUAACACGUAUGCAACCUGGCCGUGACAGAUGGAUAACCGGGAGAAAUCCCGCCUAAUACAACAUAAUGCCGGGAGGGGACAUCCCCUGCCGGCCAAAGGGGGCGACCCCGGUCACGGAUGGGCAUGCGGCGCAUUAGGUAGUUGGUGGGGCAACGGCCCACCAAGCCGACGAUGCGUAGGGGUUCUGAGAGGAAGGUCCCCCACAUUGGAACUGAGACACGGUCCAAACUCCUACGGAAGGCAGCAG
rnacentral:rRNA from 1 species